UCUCACCAAGUUGAGCAACAGUGCAACCAGCAUGGAAGAUUCCUCUCACAACCCAACAAGCGAGCCGUCCAGCGUAUUCCUGCAGGAACAAGAGCCAAAUCAGAGUUCUAACCACAGCCCAGGAGGAAUCUUGCCUGAAACAGGCAAACCAGAAAAACUUUACUGCACUGGAUUUGGUCAAGCAAAUGCAGAGAUACAGAGUUUUGAAGAACACUAGUCAGGGAAAAAUUCGUACAAAAAUUUACCGCAUUUUAAUGUACUUGGGCGGGACUUAUGAAAUUUGUUGUUAAUACCGGAAAUGAUCUUAAAGUUAGCAUAUCUGCUGAACCGCUUGGUCUAUUCUCUUUUAAAAAAGUAUGAAAUGGACACUCAGGACUCAGGAGUUGACAUUGUAACCAUUUGAUAUCUAUUAUGAAGUUUAUAAUGUUUCUGUAAUGUAUAUCUUUAUGAUGUCCCUAUAAUAGUAUGAUGUCUCCUGCUUCAGAGAGUUCUUUUGGAUUUAAAGUAACCAUGCUAUCUUUUCUUUCAUACAGUAUAUUGUAUCAUGUUUCAGAACUCUCAUCAAUGUCCACCUUACGCUUGUAUCUGUUUCUUGAUCUUUAUAAGCAAUUUUUCUGUCAAUUUCAUUUGGUCUAAAUAAUUCGUUUUUAGUGUGA